rnacentral:lncRNA from 1 species
GUCUGGUUCGAGUAAUUAAGUCUGAGGGGUGUUUCACCUAAUGCCUUGAGCCAACUGGAUCAAGAGUCAUUGACCCAAAGCUCGUUACAUGGACCUUACUAGAGCCUAAUUGAGUUGGACUGUUGUAGUCACUGUGCAAAAAAAAAGAAAAAAAAUAUUAAAAUAAACAUGAGUAGGUUAGUUAAAUUAAAACCAAGUGACUUGUGGAUGACUGGUUUGACUUCAUUGUUUUAGAACUCUGUGUACCUGGGAUGUCUAGUUGGGAUUGAUAGCUUCAUUUUUAUAUGCAAACCAUUCUGGACAAAUAACAUGUGAUAUUCGGAAAAUUUAGUGGGUCGGGAGCUAACAAAUGGUAGUUAACACUUGUGAAUUUGAGUAGUGCACCUAGAACUCAAGGGGUGCCC